GAAUAUGAAGCAAUAAUUGCAAUUAGUUUCGACCUAAUAAAUUGGUAUUAAUUUACCCUUAUUCU
rnacentral:tRNA from 1 species